GCCUUCUGGAAAGGAGUGCUUUGAUAGCCACACUGGAGAUGUGUCUGAAAUCAGUCAUUUCACCUCUGUUCUCACAACAGUUUUGGGGACAGGAGGACAACUGAAAGAGCAAAAGCAUCACAAGGUGUACAUUCUGUAAGUGAUGUCCUGAUCUGAGGAAUCUCAAUUACAGUCCUCUGUUGCGGAGACAUCUCCUAAACAGGGGUAGUCAAGCAGCUGGAGAAGGUACUUUCCGCAGGUACCCAUGCCGUUAUAGUUAAGCACAUGAGAGAUGCCUGAACCCCCCGCCCUUCCUUGGCACUAUGAGGUGCCCAGAAAGCAA
ensembl:lncRNA